rnacentral:rRNA from 1 species
CCUACGGGUGGCAGCAGUGGGGGAUAUUGCACAAUGGGGGAAACCCUGAUGCAGCGACGCCGCGUGAGGGAAGAAGGAUGUCGGGAUGUAAAGCUCUAUCAGCAGGGAAGAAAAUGACAGUACCUGACCAAGAAGCCCCGGCUAACGACGUGCCAGCAGCCGCGGUAAUACGUAGGGGGCAAGCGGUAUCCGGAUUUACUGGGUUGAUAGGGGGCGUAGGCGGUUUUGUAAGGCUGGAGUGAAAGCCUGGGGCCCAACCCCGGAAUUGCUUUGGAAACUGUCUAACUGGAGUACAGUAGAGGCAGGCGGAAUUCCUGGUGUAGCGGUGAAAUGCGUAGAUAUCACGAGGAACACCGACGGCGAAGGCAGCCUGCUGGACUGCAACUGACGUUGAGGCUCGAAAGCGUGGGGAGCAAACAGGAUUAGAUACCCGGGUAGUC